UUAAGGAAAUCUCUUGCUCAUGGUGGGCUGGCUCGAGGUCUUCAUGAAGGUGCAAAGGUGAUUGAGAAGCAUGCUGCCCAGCUCUGUGUAUUAGCUGAGGAUUGCAACCAGACUGACUAUGUCAAGCUGGUGAAAGCACUUUGCAACGACCAUAAUGUUACUCUGCUGACAGUUCCCAGUGCUAAGACCCUUGGUGAAUGGGCGGGAGUAAGUAUUAUGUUUAGCCAGAUUCUCUAAUAUUUGGUGAACUGUGCAUUUUUUGCUCACUUUGUGUCAUGAAGAGAAAAUGAGACUUGUAUUUUUCAUUUGUUUGCAACUUUUCCUAGUGAUUAAUAAUAUUAGGAUGGAAUAAUAUUACAAAUAUAUUAUGGUGUGUUUUGAAAUCUUUUAUUCUGAAAUUGAUAAUCCUUCAUGGUAAUGCAGUCCGUGAAUCGUUUGCAUAGUCUUGUCUAUUCAAUUACAGCCCUUAUUAAUUUUUUGCUACUACUAUCAUUUGUCAUUAAAUUUUGUUGCUGUUUGAAGGUAUUAAAUUGUUAUUUCAUGCCUUGUGCUUAGAAAACUGGCUCUUUCAUGCAUGGUUUGUUUUUAAUAUGGGUGCUUGGGCGAUGCAGCUGUGCAAGAUAGACUCUGAGGGGAAAGCCAGGAAGGUAGUCGGUUGCUCUUGUGUUGUUGUCAAGGUACGCAUACAUUUGAAANNNNNNNNNNNNNNNNNNNNNNNNNNNNNNNNNNNNNNNNAGUCAAUUUGAUGUGUUCUGAAUUGAGUUUAUUCCGUAGUAGACCCCUUUUUCCUUUUUAAUUCACCGUGUCUCUCUCGUGGACAGUCAUUUUGUUGGUGCACUAUUUGGAAUCAUGAGGUUAAAUAUUGUUUUAUGUUAGUGAUCAUGAUCGUGCCUGUAGUCUCACAGGUUUGGAAUUUACUGCUACGAUCGAAUCAGCAGGUAAAUUGUAUGCAUGAGCUAAAAGGGUUUGGAGUCUUUGGUGAUCAACUUUUUUUUUUGUUUUUGAGUUUGUUGCAUCUCUUGAGAUUCACAUUUUAACACCUAUUCUAGUUAAGAGGUCUUCGCGAGGCCAUAUACGGUACCGAAUAGAGAAAAGCGAUUUGGAUAGACGAUCGAACUAUUUUGAUGGAGUGGGGCUGAAAGAAACACGAUUUGUACGUGCCAAAAAUGGAUUGCAUUAUCAUUAUUUUUUUAAAAAAAAAAAAGAAAAAAUCAGUUUUGAAAUUUCAAAAAAUGGAUAGAGGAAUAAACUAAUAUUUAUUUGUUUCGGACCGAACAGUUUGAUCUAAUCUUUUGUAAAGUAGGAAGAACAAACGUCAGCUGAUUUCAGUAGCAAUUUAAUUUAUUCAAUCAAUCCCCGAGCUGUAGGUCUCUUUUUAUCUUGCCGAACUAUUUGGGAUGUCGCACUACCCCCCUGCAGUAUACCGUUUCCGUAUUUAACCGUUCCGGAGACAGUUGAAGUGAGGAGGUUAAAAACGCCAUAACAUUGAGAGAAGAGGAUUUAUUUGAAUGUAGCUCCAUAAUUGAUGACUGCAAAGUCCUACUAUGGCUAUCGGGUAGGUCUGAUAUCACAAUUACUUGGGGUUUGUAGGGAAAGCUAACAUGGUAGUCCAUAGCAUUGUGGAAUAAUAAUAAUAAAUAAAUAAAUAAAUAUCAAAAUUUUAGAGAAAAAGUUGGUAUACGAGUUCUUUACUGUUAAAAAUAAUAAUAAUAAUAAUAAUAAAUAUCAAAAUUUUAAUAUUUUUUAAUUAAAUAGACUAAAAACUUAAAUUCUUUAAUUUUCGUGUAACGCCCAACUAUUUUUAUUAUUUUAUUUUAUUUAUUAAUUCUAUAUAAAUAUAAAUAUGUAUUAAUUGAAUUUAAUUUAUUUUAAUAAAAAUAGUAAUAGUAAUAAUAAUAAAAAUUGUUUAAGAAAUUAAUUGAAAAUAAUUUUUAAAAAAAAUAGGUGAAAAUUUAAGUUAUAAUGGUAUUUUUGAAAGAAAAAUCGAAAACUGAUGGUCAAAACGCAAUUUAAAAAAAUUGUGCCACGUCAGCUGCCCCAACCAACCAGGACGCGCCAGGUGGCAGAGACGCUGACGCGGGAGGGAGCCACGUGGGCGAUUCACGUGUGCACGAUCGAACGACUGAGAUCCGUUCCUGUGCGUACGGACGGCCCAGAUCAAAAACGUACAUAGACGGCUCAGAUUGGAUCGCGCACGGACGACACAGAUNNNNNNAAACCCACUAUGGUCAAAUCGGAGCGAAAAAUGCCGCCGCGAGGUGUUUCGGUUUUCGCCUCUGAUGAGGCCCUUCCCAAUUCCUGUUCGAUAUGAUUUUUCCACCGUUGUGAUCACCGUUUCCUCCUCUGCAGGUUAUACGGAGUAAAACACCUAACCGCAACGUGAACCGGAGGAGCUGCCGCAUCGAAAAGCCCCAACGCGGGUGAAUUUUAGUUUUCUACGUUUUUCCGGCCCACUAAUGGCCCUAAGUGUGUUUUCUCACAGGAAUCGAUGCAAGUUUGGCUGAAUUCGGCCGAAAACAGCCAACCUAAGGCAGAUCGCCGCCGCGAGCGGUGGUGCCAUCACCGGAGCACGGCGGAGCCGCCGUGCUGGAAUUUGAAAUUGGUCAAGUAGACCCUAUGUCUAAUUUUUGGGUUAUUUGGGACAUGUGUAGGUACCGUAAGCGCGUUUCAGUUCUCGAGAAAAAAUUCAGAGAAUCCAGGGACCGCUUGUAGGCACAAUGACAAUUUAGUUUUCGGUGUCGAAUCAAGUAAGGACCCCUCACCCUAUUUCCUAUCAUAUUUUAAUAUUAUAUUUAACUUUUUUACCCGUUUUUUAUUUUUCAUUUGAAAGAAAAAUAAUUUUAUCUAUUUUAUUAUUAUCUAUUAAAUUAUUAAGUUACACCGUUAAUUUUUUUGAUAAAUAAUAUAUGUACUAGCUUUAUAUAUAUAUAUAUAUAUAUUAAUUUAUAAAACAUUAGAAUUACAUUUUUUAUGAUUUAAAUAGAAAAUUAUGCCUUUGUAGAAUAACUUAGGAUGUGACUAAUAUUUUUUUUGUUUGUAAUUAGUUUUUAAGUUUAAUAACAUGGGUGAUAUAUGGAAAUUAAAUAAAUGAUGGGGAGGAAACUAUAAUUUGAAGAAUUUGCAAUUGGGCGUCUAGGGUUAGGGUUUAGAAGUGCGUCGUUGAUGCUAUAUAAAUCUCGCUUUCAUCCAACUCCAUUAAUUUACAUGGUGAGCAUCCCCUUGCGGCGUCUUCUCCUGCGGCAACUCCUCCUGCGGCAACUCCUCUGUGUGAAGGUAUCUUUUCUAUGCUCCUCUUGUGCACAUACGUUUGUAUCUACUCAUUUUUUUAAUAUUUAUUCGGCUCAUAUACGACUUAACCUAGUCGGCGCCAUUAAAAAUGCUGUUGCUUUCUUUCUCGUUUCUCUUGCGGCCGUCACCUCCACCGAGAGGUUUCGUUUUCUUUCUUCCUCUUCUUUCGGGUUUAUGAGUUUUAAGUACAGUUCUGCAAUUGGUCGGUUGAUGAUAUAACCUGCAUGGUGUUUUCUGCUAUCUAAUUCUUGCAGGGAUUAUAAAGAAUUUGAUCAUAAUCAAAGAGAACAAUGUCAGGGUAAGUUUCUCUCGCAUUGUUUUAUCGUUUUUGUUGGGUCUGAACUUUAUGUUUUUUUCCUAAUUUAUCUGUUUAUUAACACACUUAUCAUAAGUGUGAGAUUAUUGUCUACAGUUAAACCCAUAAUGAUUAACUUGCAACCAAGAUCUGACGAUAGAGUAAAACCAAAUCAGAAUACCAUAUUUCCAUUAUAGCUGAUGAACAUGCUUUCGAUUUAGUUCUAAUUGAAUUUCAAUCAGUGAUAUCAAUAAUUGACUUGGUUAUUAUUAUAGAUUGGUUUGUUUUUAUUUGUUGAGUUCUGCAGUAAGUCUCCUUAGUCCUAAACUAGCUGGGCCCCUAGCAUCACAACAAUAUUUUCCUUGUAAUUUUAAUAGCUAUAAGAUCUCUUUUCAAACAAAUUUGGGUAUAAAAUUCCAAACAAAAAAUAGAAAAGCUGUUCUCGUUUGGGCCGCAAAACUGUUUCUGGACUUUCUUGCCUUUUGCUUUCAGGUUCACAUGGCAUUAGGUACAAAGUUUCGACCUUUUAGCUUUGGAUGUACUUAAUGUCUUACUUACGUUCUUGGACAUUGAUUAAGGAAUUGAUACACACAGGAUUAACAAGAUAAACGAGCAAUGCAAUGUGUUGCCUCACUAUAGCAUGUUUACUAGAGGUCAAAAGGCUAAAUUUUGCAUGAAUAGCAGGACUCGAAACUUGUAUUGCUUUCAAAGAUUGCAAAAGAAAAAGGAAAUCCAGGACAUUUCUGAUUCACUUUUUUUGUGAGUCACUAUUGCAGUGAAGAAGGUGCUGCUGCUGUUGCGGCUGAGACAUCUGUUGUCCCUAAGGAGAUGGACUUGAUUACAGCUUUGCAACAUGUGUUAAGGAAAUCUCUUGCUCAUGGUGGGCUGGCUCGAGGUCUUCAUGAAGGUGCAAAGGUGAUUGAGAAACAUGCUGCCCAGCUCUGUGUAUUAGCUGAGGAUUGCAACGAGACUGAUUAUGUCAAGCUAGUGAAAGCACUUUGCAAUGACCAUAAUGUUAGUCUACUGACAGUUCCCAGUGCUAAGACCCUUGGUGAAUGGGCUG
rnacentral:lncRNA from 1 species